rnacentral:rRNA from 1 species
CGCGGCCUAUCAGCUUGUUGGUGAGGUAACGGCUCACCAAGGCAUCGACGGGUAGCCGGUCUGAGAGGACGAUCAGCCACACUGGGACUGAGACACGGCCCAGACUCCUACGGGAGGCAGCAGUAGGGAAUCUUGCGCAAUGGGCGAAAGCCUGACGCAGCAACGCCGCGUGCGGGAUGAAUGCCUUCGGGUUGUAAACCCCUUUCAGCAGGGACGAAAAUGACGGUACCUGCAGAAGAAGCUCCGGCCAACUACGUGCCAGCAGCCGCGGUAAUACGUAGGGAGCGAGCGUUGUCCGGAAUUAUUGGGCGUAAAGAGCUCGUAGGCGGUUCAGUAAGUCGGGUGUGAAAACUCAAGGCUCAACCUUGAGACGCCACUCGAUACUGCUGUGACUUGACUUGAGUCCGGUAGAGGAGUGUGGAAUUCCUGGUGUAGCGGUGAAAUGCGCAGAUAUCAGGAGGAACACCAGCGGCGAAGGCGGCACUCUGGGCCGGUACUGACGCUGAGGAGCGAAAGCACGGGGAGCAAACAGGAUUAGAUACCCUGGUAGUCCAUGCCGUAAACGUUGGGCACUAGGUAUGGGAUCAUAUCAACGGAUUCCGUGCCGUAGCUAACGCAUUAAGUGCCCCGCCUGGGGAGUACGG